rnacentral:lncRNA from 1 species
ACAUUUUUGUUACACUAGGCGUCGUAGAUUUACCUCAAAAAAGGCAUCAUAGAUAAUUCCAGCCAGAAACUAAUAUUAUCAAUAAAUAGUUAUAUUGUUUUCAGCAAUAGGCAUCAUAGUGGAUACUUCAGGUACAUGAAUCACAUACAUAGUUCAGCGUUAAACUCCUCUAAAGAGGUACUAUACUUAUAAUGAUUUUACACAAAGCCAGAACCACUAUGCUUCAUGACAACACGUACACAUAACAACAAAUCAGGAAACCAUAGCUUCUCCUGUUCACUGUCAUCCACUUCUGAGUAGCCAGUUCUUCUGGAUUGCAGAAUAUCCUGGGAUCAAGAAAGAUCACACAUGAGAAGAACAUGCAGACCACAUAGCAAUUGAAUUGAAACAUCUUUGUUGUAAGACACAUAUACUGUAAUAAGAAGGAAACAACUACAAUUAUGAUAAGCCAACCAAAGUGUCAUGACAGUACAAUACAGAGGUAUUUUUCACAAGACAAUCACCCACUAUAGGACAAAGGUUGGACAAAAUUUUCUCAUUGUAGCUUAACAACGACUAUCAUGACAAUACAACAGAGGUUAACAAGCAAGUAUUAUUUCCAGAUAAAGGAUACAAAUGCCACCCUAAAAUGAAAUUUAAGAUUCCAAUGUGUAGCUACACUUGUCUAGGCGCACAUCAAGUAUUGACCAAGUUAUUAAAGUAAAUGAGUAUUCACUAUAGAUUCUACUUUAGGUAACUCAUUAGCAGUUGGGGAAUUAGAAAAAAGAAAUACAUAGGCAUGAUGCACCAGAGGUAAGGGAAAGCGUUACGAUACAUGUGAAUGGCUCGGGUCUUAGGACAAGACAUCCUCCAUGUUCCAUAUUGUUUGGCCCAAACAUGUCAACAAGUUAAUGUGCACGUUGAAUGGAACAUAGAAAAUCUAUUGAACAACCAUUGCGGGCGGCAAGCAAAAGAUAAUGCAUGCAAUCAACCAUGCAUACAAAAGGGUAGUGAACAAGCAUGAAUCCUCCAGAAUGCGGGAAAUUAACCACCAAGAGAUCCAAUGUAACAAAGUACUCCUUCCGUUCCUAAACAUAAGGCAAUUAUUAUCAAAUGCAGCUGCAUAGGACAAUAAUAUAAUGAAUAGUUGAUGAUACUAUUAGAACCAUAUCCACCUUGGUACUUACGGUGUAAAUUCUGAUGAAAAGGAACUUAAAAAUAAACAAUGGGCUAUUAUCACAUAUAUAAUUGGGCAACUAAAACACCUUAAGAUUAAUGGUCGGGUGAUUACUGGGUAACUACAGGCAGCAGAAACAUAGGGAAAGUGAUGCAAAAUGCACUAUCCAUGUACAUCUUGCACAUUGACAAUUACGCGAUGGAGAAGUACAUUAGUACAUAGUCACUUCACAAAUAAAACUACUUAGGGCAUUCGGAACGCAUGAUUUAUGAAUAGUAAAAUGCCGGAAAACUGACUAAAGUUCGCAUAGAACACUCUCAACUAACCAAAGCUUAUUCUCAGUAAUGGGAGUAUCAACUUUCUUUCUCUGUAAUCAAUAAGGAUUUUGUUUUUACCAUGCAUGUUUAUGUGUAAUUAAGCAAAGCAAGACUUUGUCGAUCUCAGGUAAGAUGCACUAUCAAAUUCAUACUUGCACUACUCAUGCAUGUCUAGAAUUUGUUUGUUUUUGUACACUAGCUGAAAACAGGUAACACAGUUAAGCAAGUGGCAUGAACAACUAUCUUACCAGGCUGAAAACAACAUAGCAGCAGAUUAGAGUUACUACCAAACUCACCAAUCAUAAAUUCCAUCACACGCUGGCACAUUCAGAGAAACAGAUUUGAGUUACUACUGAACCCACCAUUGAUAAAUUAUGUCAUCGACGCUGGCACCUACAGAGCAGCAGAUUUGGCACAUUCAGGCAUCAAUUUGGGCAAACAACUUCAUCAAUCGAUAGUGUUCAGAAAGAAAAGAAAGAGACCGGCCGAAAGCAACGAUGACAGUGAGGAUAGCCCAGAUGGAGCUGCGAGCGGCGUGGUCACCUUGGCCGCGUACACGAGAUUCAUGGGGUACUUGCGCGGGAACGGUCAUGUCUGCUGGCGCAGCGUCUCAUCGCUGCCGACGCCGGGGAAGUUGGAAACGACCCAAUCAAGCGUCGCGGCCCACCCAGCCCCCGCUGGUCCAGCGCCAAGCGCAGCGUUCACUGCUCCGACAGCAACCACACUCGCCCUCCUUGUGACGCGUGCGGUUGGUGCAGCAUCGGUUCUUGGUACCCGCCGCCGUUGAGAUCUCAAGAUGGGUUGGUGGUUCCCGCCGCCGUCCUGGUGGCCCGCCGCCGCAGCUGUGGGAUGGUUAGGCUGGAUCCGUGUGUGGAUUGGCAAGAUCCGGCCAGAUCGAGGCUCGGCGAGGUGGGAGGGGAGGGGAUCGUGGAGAGAGUAGAAGGUGGGAGCGGCGCUGGAGGGGAUUC